GCGAGUUUCUGCUUAAGCUUUGCUGCAAAAACUAAAAGCAUCAGGAAUCACACGCAAUUUUAUUUUUUCAAACGUUGAAGCAGUAAAUUUGCUCAUUGUUAAAGAACAUAUUUAUUGACGUUCACCCUACCCCCCAAAACGAUCAAAAUCUUCUGACUAAACCUUUAAUAAAAUCUUAGACAGUACAGGAAGACACCACCCCACGCUAGACAGACCACUAAACGUACUGCCUUCAAGUAUAAUGAAUCACGGGUGUCUACUGAUAAAAACCAUCAAAAGAGUCAUCCGUUUCAGCUUUUUCCUCACAGCUCUGCAAAGUACACAAAAGAUGUUUCUCCAAAGCAGCCCCAUUCACAGUACUCCAAAGGCAAAAAGAGUUCAAAAAGUAAAAAAAGAAGAAACUAGAACAAGGCAACUGUGAAGGGGCGGAAGAGGAGAGGGGAGGGAAAAAAAAACAGGACGUGAAACAAACUUAAAACUCUUCCGCAACUUCCAGUGGGAAAUUAGGUUUCUCGUUUUCCAACCCAACAUGCUUUGCACGGCCAAAUAGUACAACUAGCGAACAACAAAGAGUUGUAGGAGCCACAGGGAGGAAGAUGUUGGAGGGGGCGCAUCGCAACCCAGCAUCUGACUCUAAUCCCUGACGGGGAAGGUUAGAAAGGAGCCCGGGGAAAAGUGCCCGGAAGGGCCGGGAUAGGGAGGGAGGGAUGGGGCCGACCGUCUGUUAGCUACCCCCGCACAACCCAGGCGAAGGAGGGGCGGCAAGUGGCCGGCCCAGCCCAGGGCAGUCCGGGGAUGUCCGGGACGCCGCUGGGUGUAGCCCCGGCGGGCGGACGGGCGGGGGGAGCCCGCGGAGGCCCGGCCGGCUCCACCUGUGGCCGGGGGAAGGGGGGCCCACGUGUGCCCGAGAGGGAUCCCCGGGGAGGGGGCGCCCGGCCGGGAGCGGGGAGGGAGAGGACAUGGCGCUGCUGUUACCUGGGUUCCGGCCGCCGCUGGCAGGAGGAGGCGGCGGCGGCGGCGGUCCUCUCCCGCCCCUGGGCUCGGGCGAAGUCUGGGCCGCCGCCGCGGCCUGGCACAGAGUGCGCAGCGGGCUUCCUCCCGGCCGGGCCGCCGCCGCCGCGGCCCCCGGCCUCCCUGCCCCUCCUCGGGGCCGGGCCGCCCUCCCCCUCCUCACGGGUCCGGCCGGCUCGGGCUCCCGGGCGGCCGACCCGCGGCGGGGGGCCUCUCCCAGGACGGCACCGGGCUCCGCUCACCCGCUGCGGCGCCCACCCCUUCCCGCCCCCGGGCGACGGCCGAGCGGAGGGGAGGGCGGCCGGGGCCUCGGGAGGACAGCGAGCGAGAGCGCGGACUCCGCCACCCGGGACGCUCCGUUAAGGCGACGACGACCGGGGCCGUGUUGUUGCUGCCAACUUGUCGAGGGGGGCACUGGGCAUGCGCAAACGCAGACCACAUCCGGUGGAGAAAAGAGAACUCAUCAAAGACACUUCUUGCAACAACGCACUGUGAGAAAUGAUUUGGGGGGGGCAGUCAGGAAAAUAGCCCUUUACCCCUUUCCCAACCCGACCCAAACUUCUAAAUCCAUAGACUCAGAAAUGUCCAAUCGGAACUAUCUGAAUUCCAAGAUUCCCCACUCCCCCACUAUGAAAAGAGGAGGCAAAGUUCAAUAA
ensembl:lncRNA